AUACGGUAUACACUGGUGUACUGCGAGAGGUAGGUGCUGUAUUUGGUUGUCCAUUACCUACGUACAGAGAGCUGUACGCCCAUUUACCGUUUUUAAAAUCGUACCAAUUGCAUAGUCACUGCGGCGUACCUAGUCCGGGCGGCUAGUCGCGCGUCGUUCGAUCGCAAAAUAAUAAAUACCUACGAAAGUACGUGACGGGAAACUCAAAUCGAUCAAAUUUCGUGAUCUACAUUGUUUUUUAUUUCGUUCUUUUACUUAGAUUAUUCGUGCCGUAGUAUUAUUGACCACGGUCUCGCGAUUAUCGUUCGGAUCACAAACACCAUCUACGUACCUAUACACAUAUUACCUAUCAUAAUAGAAUGUAUAGGUAGGUAGGUAGGUAGUAUCGGUGUAUCGCGGCCGUCGGGAUGUAGUGCGCGGCGAUCUCUAAAAGUUUUCGAUCGUUUCGCUUUCAUGUCAUACAUAGCAAGUAGUAUAAUAGUAUAAAGCAAGUAGGUAGGUGUCUACUAACUGUGUAAGGAAAUAAUUUGCAAACGUAAAAAAGAAUUCGUUCGACGUACACAUUAUAACAUUAAUAUAAUAUUGUUAUAAUAUUCGUGACGGAACGAAAUAAUAUUAAUAUUGUGCGAAGUGGGACGGAGAUGCGCGAGUAUACAUGAAAUCCAGCUGAACCCGCGCAGUCCUGUGGUGACGGCGACAGACGGUGUUUUCAAAGAAAUAAGUGGAAAAUGGUUCAUCAUCGAUCGUCGCUAACUUCAACACCCGAAACCGUUCCUAUUAUCAGUACCUGUGAUUCGUGAAGACUAGUGAUAAUUUUUCGGGUUCUGUGAUUAUUUUAAUUCACUCGACGUGUUUUUUUUUGUAUUAAAACGGAUGGCACAACGGUUCCCGCCCUUUCCUUUAGAUUACCUGGUCGACCUUUGAACAAAACACCCACCCGUGAAUCACUUACAUGGAAACGCCACUUGAUUGGUACACUGAAGCAAAAUCUGUGAUUGAGAUUUUGUGUGCUCUUGAACAAACAAGGAUUUCGGGUUGUUGCCAAAGCUUUUGAUCAAGACACCAAUAGCUCACAAGUGUGUUACGAAACU